UUACAGCAGGAAACCACCAGACCAAUGAGGAAAACCUUACACGCAGAAGACAAGAAGACAAGAAAGGUAUGGAAAUAGAGACCACACACGUUGGCGCUUGGCCCAGCCACAAAAUCAAAACUGUGUUUGCAUUUUGACCUCAACGGCGAGCCGGAAGGAGAAAUACAUAGGUGAUAGCCAAUCACAACACUGGAAAAAUGCAGUUCCAAGCGUCCCUAUCCAGACUAAAGGGUCUAAGAGCGGCUGUUAACACCACAGCAGAGACCUGCCCCGGUCUCACCGUGUCACGGUAACCGAAAGGGACACAGACUCUCCCGAAAAAGAGGAAAACUGGGUCGCUGUCACUGCGGAUAAUGUCGACUCCAAAGAAACACUGCCGGUGAAGUCACGGCUGACAACAGUCUAAGCAAUGAACAUAAUGUACAUGUCAUAUUGUAUCUUAGACUCCAAAAGAAAAAGAAAACACAGCUCCUACGUAGCAUGGGAGGCUUUGGACUAAGUUGAUGGCCUUUCAGCACACCCACUUCAUGUGUACAGUAGGUUUAUAUCUACCCUUUGAAUGUUUAAAAGCAGAAGGGCGAGGAUCUGGUAGACAUGCAAGCAACUGCUUCUAGUUCACUACAAACCAUUUUAAAUGGGAGAAAUUACUGAACUGUGAUGAAA